CUCUUCGGGGAUGAUUAAACCGGCGCACGGGCUGAGUAACACGUGAGUGACCUGCCUUUUAGACUGGAACAACUUACCGAAAGGUGAGCUAAUGCCGGAUGAGUUAUAUAAGUGCAUGUUUAUAUAGGAAAAGUUGGGGAGACCUGACGCUGAAAGAUGGACUCGCGUCCCAUUAGCUAGUUGGUAGGGUAAUGGCCUACCAAGGCGACGAUGGGUAGCCGGCCUGAGAGGGUGGCCGGCCACACUGGGACUGAGACACGGCCCAGACUCCUACGGGAGGCAGCAGUGGGGAAUUUUGCGCAAUGCUCGUAAGAGUGACGCAGCGACGCCGCGUGAAUGACGAAGGCCUUCGGGUCGUAAAGUUCUUUCGACAGGGAAGAAAAUGCCUAUAAGUAACUGUGUAUGUAUUGACGGUACCUGUAUAAGCAGCCCCGGCUAACUCCGUGCCAGCAGCCGCGGUAAUACGGAGGGGGCGAGCGUUGUUCGGAGUGACUGGGCGUAAAGAGCACGUAGGCGGUGUUGUAAGUCAUUAGUCAAAGACUAGAGCUCAACUUUAGUAAGGCUAGUGAUACUAUAAUACUAGAGUAUCAGAGAGGAUUGCAGAAUUCCUGGUGUAGCGGUGAAAUGCGUAGAUAUCAGGAGGAAUACCGUUAGCGAAGGCGGCAAUCUGGCUGGAAACUGACGCUGAGGUGCGAAAGCGUGGGUAGCAAACAGGAUUAGAUACCCUGGUAGUCCACGCUGUAAACGAUGGAUGCUAGGUGUUGGGCUUUUAAGUUCAGUGCCGCAGCAAACGCGAUAAGCAUCCCGCCUGGGGAG
rnacentral:rRNA from 1 species